GAAGCUCAGGUGAUCCCAGCUGCGCCCAGGUGCGCCCAGGUGCAGUUCAGGUGUGCCCAGCUCUGCCCAGGUGCGCCCAGGUGCGCCCAGGUGUGCCCAGCUGCGCUCAGGUGCAGUUCAGGUGAUCCCAGGUGCGCUCAGGUGCGGCAGCAGAGGCCGCAGCCGCGGUUGCGGCAGCAGCCGCAGCAGAAGGAGCAGAGCGGGAAGUGGGGGCUGUGCCGGCGGCGCCGCGCCCAGGUGAGCGCCAGGUGAGGGGGCACGGCCUCGGCCGGGCCGCCGGCAGGGGUCACCUGGGGGAAGCAAAAUUCCAGGUAUGAAUCCCUGGGAACACCUGAAAUCCAGGUGAGGUUACCUGGGAACACCUGAAAUCCAGGUGUGAGUCC
rnacentral:lncRNA from 1 species